UUUAAGUUUUGUGCAUAUUUAGCUAAAGACUGAUACAACAAGUACCUAUUACACUUGAUAACUGAUGCUUAUUUUGUUGCGUUUCUGAUUGAAACCCCAAUUAAUGACAAGUGCAAACAAAAGUGUAGCUGUAUGAAGAAUUGAGAACAGUAAAUUGAGCUGAUACAGAUAAGUUUCAUAAAUAUAUUUUCCUGAGACGAACAAUGCAAUACAGCUCAGUCACUGAUCGACACUCGCUGCCUUCAAUCACUGAUAGCGAUGCGUAUGUUUCAACUUUUAUUCACUGUUCUGACAGUGAGUGUUAUUUUUGUUGCGUUACAAACGAUGGUGGUUUCCGGAGCAAGAGUUUGCCCAGGUGCAAAUGAAAUCUACUCUAGGUGCGGAUCAGAUUGCAUAGAAACUUGUCAAAAUUACAAUCAACCAUUGGCGUGUAAUGAUAUGUGCGUUUUCGGCUGUUUCUGUAAACAAGGUUACGUGCGAAAUAAUCGGAAUAAAUGCGUAGCAAUUAGCGAAUGCUAGUUGUUGGCGAACAAUUCGCAGAGUCAUACGAGAACACGUUUAUAAUAAA